GGGUCAGUGAUGAGAAUUCAUAUUGUCUCGAAGAGAGAUGAAAUCAUGCUCAGUAGGAUUAUGUCGAGGCCC
rnacentral:snoRNA from 1 species